AAUGGUGCUGGUGCUGGCUGCAUCUUUCCUGGAGCUCCCAAUGUCUGGACUUAAAAGAUGCCUAUGUCCAAGAUGCAUGCCAAACCAGCUGAAUGAGAAGCAUACUUAAAAAAGAAAUAACACCUCAAUUCAGGUCAAUAAAGGAUGUGAUGGUUUCAGAAAUAAUAUUGAUCUCGUUAGAGUCCUGGCUGCUCAUAUUCUGAAGACAGUGGAUGUCAUCUGGGUAUAUCCAUGGGAUUUUUUUCCUUCCCCAACAAGUAUGAACAUGCUAAAAAUCAAGUGAACGUGG